UACGUAGGUGGCAAGCGUUGUCCGGAAUUACUGGGUGUAAAGGGCGUGUAGGCGGGGAUGCAAGUCAGAUGUGAAAUUCCGGGGCUCAACUCCGGAGCUGCAUCUGAAACUGUAUCUCUUGAGUGCUGGAGAGGAAAGUGGAAUUCCUAGUGUAGCGGUGAAAUGCGUAGAGAUUAGGAGGAACACCAGUGGCGAAGGCGGCUUUCUGGACAGUAACUGACGCUGAGGCGCGAAAGCGUGGGGAGCAAACAGG
rnacentral:rRNA from 1 species